rnacentral:tRNA from 1 species
GGGCGUAUAGCUCAGCUGGGAGAGCACCUGCCUUACAAGCAGGGGGUCAUAGGUUCAAGUCCUAUUGCGCCCACCA